rnacentral:rRNA from 1 species
UUUGAUCCUGGAUCAGAUUGAGCGCUGGCGGCAGGCCUAACGCAUGCAAAUCCAGCGGUAGAGACAAGCUUGCUUCUCUUGAGAGCGGCGGAGGGGUGAGUAAUGCCUAGGAAUCUGCCUGGUAGUGGGGGAUAACGUUCGGAAACGGACGCUAGUACCGCAUACGUCCUACGGGAGAAAGCAGGGGACCUUCUGGCCUUGCGCUAUCGGAUGACCCUAGGUCGGAUUAGCUAGUUGGUGAGGUAAUGGCUCACCAAGGCGACGAUCCGUAACUGGUCUGAGAGGAUGAUCAGUCACACUGGAACUGAGACACGGUCCAGACUCCUACGGGAGGCAGCAGUGGGGAAUAUUGGACAAUGGGCGAAAGCCUGAUCCAGCCAUGCCGCGUGUGUGAAGAAGGUCUUCGGAUUGUAAAGCACUUUAAGUUGGGAGGAAGGGCAGUUACCUAAUACGUGAUUGUUUUGACGUUACCGACAGAAUAAGCACCGGCUAACUCUGUGCCAGCAGCCGCGGUAAUACAGAGGGUGCAAGCGUUAAUCGGAAUUACUGGGCGUAAAGCGCGCGUAGGUGGUUAGUUAAGUUGGAUGUGAAAUCCCCGGGCUCAACCUGGGAACUGCAUUCAAAACUGACUGACUAAAGUAUGGUAGAGGGUGGUGGAAUUUCCUGUGUAGCGGUGAAAUGCGUAUAUAUAGGAAGGAACACCAGUGGCGAAAGCGACCACCUGGACUGAAUACUGACAAUAAGGUGGGGAAAGGGGGGGGAGCAAACAGGAUUAGAUACCCUGGUAUUUCCUCCCGUAAACGAUGUCAACUAGCCGGUGGGAAGCCUUGAGCUGUUAGGGGCGCAGCUACAGCAUUAAGUUGACCGCCUGGGGGAGUACGGCCGCAAGGUUUAAAACUCAAAAUGAAUUGACGGGGGCCCGCACAAGCGGUGGAGCAUGUGGUUUAAUUCGAAGCAACGCGAAGAACCUUACCAGUCCUUAACAUCCA